CCCUUAGAUGUUCUGGGCCGCACGCGUGCUACACUGAGUGGAUCAGCGGGUCAGGUUGCGCGAAAGUGUUUCCUAAUCUUGAAAUCCGCUCGUGAUGGGGAUUGACGGUUGCAAUUUUCCGUCAUGAACGAGGAAUACCUUGUAAGCGCGGGUCAUCAUCCCGCGCUGAAUACGUCCCUGCCCUUUGUACACACCGCCCGUCGCUCCUACCGAUUAAGUGAUCCGGUGAAUAGUUCGGACUGCUGCAAUGCUUGGAUCCCGAGAAUUGCGGCGAAAGUUUAGUGAACCUUAUCACUUAGAGGAAGGAGAAGUCGUAACA
rnacentral:rRNA from 1 species